GGAUAGGUGUAUGGAAGAUAAUUGGAUGGAGAAUUGCUUUAUGAAUGGAUGAAUGAAGAGAUGGAAAAUAGCUUUAUAGAUGGAUGGGUGAAUGGAUGGAUGGAUAGAUGGAAGAAGGAUGAAUGGAUGGAAAAUAGCUUUAUAGAUAUAUGGGUGGAUAUUUAAGUGAUAGCCUUACAUUAAUAGAUGAAUGGAGGAUGAAUGGUUGGGUGAGUGGGUAGGAGUGUUACUGAUGGAGGGGUGGAUAUACGGAUAAUAGCUUUAUAGAUGGAUGGAUGGAUAGAUGGACGGAAGGAUAGAAAGACAGGUGAAUGACUGGAUGUAUCAGCAUAUGACAAGCAGGUACAGCUGUACAUGGGAGGUCUAUGCCCUGAGACCCUGAGGAAAAUGAGGAUGCCCGUGCUGGUGGCCCUCACCUGGCCCUCGCUUGUAACCCCUCAGCCACAUUCCCUGGGAAGGCAACAGAGGCCUCUGGUCUUGCCCAUUCAACCUUUGGCACACUGAGUGUCAGACCCAGGUCUCUGUCUUGGACCCAGAUCUCCUUGAGGGUGGGUGUGUCUGGUCCUCUCUGGCCCCGGGACCCAGUCACUGAAUACGUGGCUGGGACUGAGACGGGGUGGGGUGGGAGGGGCGGGAGGGUACCUCGGGCUCAAGCUUCCCUUGGAGAAGCAGAUGGUGUCCACUUUCUGCCCUGCCAAGUCUCUCCCUGAAGUGCCCUAAGAAUGUCAAAGACAGAAGGUCCGAGCCCCUCACCUGGGACCCUGCCUCCUCAUCCUCCCUGGGGGAGUCUCAGGCCUUAGAUGGGGACCCAGACCCCACUGUCCCCAGACCCCAAGGAAGCAUAGCCGCUGUUCACACGAGUCUGGGAGUCUGGGCCUGGCAGGCUCUUGCUGUGUUGCAGAUUGGCAGAUGCCGCCUCCCUAUGUGGUGCUGGACUUGCCGCAGGAGACCCUGGAGGAGGAGACCCCCGGCGCCAACCUGUGGCCCACCACCAUCACCUUCCUCACCCUCUUCCUGCUGAGCCUGUUCUAUAGCACAGCACUGACCGUGACCAGCGUCCGGGGCCCAUCUGGCAAGAGGGAGGGCCCCCAGUACUGAGCGGGAGCCGGCAAGGCACAGGGAGGAAGUGUGGAGGAACCUCUUGGAGAAGCCAGCUAUGCUUGCCAGAACUCAGCCCUUUCAGACAUCACCGACCCGCCCUUACUCACGUGGCUUCCAGGUGCAAUAAAGUGGCCCCAAGGAAAAUG